rnacentral:tRNA from 1 species
GGCGGUGGCGGAACUGGCAGACGCACACGACUCAAAAUCGUGCGGAGAAAUCCUUGAGGGUUCAACUCCCUCCUCCGGCACCA